GUCGAGAAUCUUUCACAAUGGGGGCAACCCUGAUGGAGCGACGCCGCGUGGAGGAUAAGGUCUUCGGAUUGUAAACUCCUGUCAUGCGUGAACAAGGUUGCUUGGAUAAUACCUGAGCAAAUUGAUGGUAGCGCAAGAGGAAGAGACGGCUAACUCUGUGCCAGCAGCCGCGGUAAUACAGAGGUCUCAAGCGUUGUUCGGAAUCACUGGGCGUAAAGGGUGCGUAGGUGGCGUGGCAAGUCAGAUGUGAAAGCCCGGGGCUCAACCUCGGAACUGCAUCCGAUACUGCCAUGCUAGAGUACUGGAGGGGUGACUAGAAUUCUCGGUGUAGCAGUGAAAUGCGUAGAUAUCGAGAGGAAUACCAAAGGCGUAGGCAGGUCACUGGACAGUUACUGACACUGAGGCACGAAGGCCAGGGGAGCGAACGGGAUUAGAUACCCCAGUAGUCC
rnacentral:rRNA from 1 species